rnacentral:tRNA from 1 species
GUCACUUUGCCGGAGUGGUUAACGGGAUCGCCUGCUAAUGUCAGUAACUCUGAAAUACAAAGCGGUUGGGCUUUGCCCGCGUGUGUUCGAAUCGCACAGGUGACG